rnacentral:piRNA from 1 species
UGCUAACCAGUCAGUUACUCUCUCUUCAGCC